rnacentral:rRNA from 1 species
GAUGAACGCUAGCGACAGGCUUAACACAUGCAAGUCGAGGGGCAGCGAGGGCGUAGCAAUACGCCUGUCGGCGACCGGCGCACUGGUGAGUAACACGUAUGCGACCUGCCCCCUACAGGGGUAUAACCCGUAGAAAUGCGGACUAAUCCCCCAUAGUCCCGCGGGCUGCAUGGCCUGCGGGGGAAAGGGUUUCCGGUAGGGGAUGGGCAUGCGGCGCAUUAGCUAGUUGGCGGGGCAACGGCCCACCAAGGCGACGAUGCGUAGGGGUUCUGAGAGGAAGGUCCCCCACACUGGUACUGAGACACGGACCAGACUCCUACGGGAGGCAGCAGUGAGGAAUAUUGGUCAAUGGGCAGAGCCUGAACCAGCCAAGUAGCGUGCAGGAUGACGGCCCUAUGGGUUGUAAACUGCUUUUANAAGGGAUAAAGUGAGUCUCGUGAGACUUUUUGCAUGUACCUUAUGAAUAAGGACCGGCUAAUUCCGUGCCAGCAGCCG